rnacentral:lncRNA from 1 species
CGUUUCUACGGUUCUUGAAUGAGUUGUUAUAGUUGAAGAACGAAGAAUUGUAUGCACUGUUCGUUCUACAUCGGUUUCUGAAUAUGAACGAGAUGAAGGAACAGGAUGAGGAAGUGGGGGAGGAAGGUUGGUUGGUGCGUUCCUCGCUUAUGGUAUGCGCAAGGAGGGCAUAAACCGAGACAAUAGUCGCCUUAGGGUAUUCGAGAUGACCGCCAUUAGGUGCACGUCCCUCAACUCCCUCACCUCUCUCUUUCUCUCAUCUCCCUGAUCUCUUUCCGCCCUUCUCCCAUCUCCACAUCUCCACCUUUACUCCUCGUACUUUAACUUACGAACGUAGGUAACAACCAGAAAGGACAAACUAUCCUUUUGCUUCGUUGGAAUUUCACGCUGAUGGUACUCUGCACAAAUGGAUCUCAUCAAUUACAAGAUCAUUCGAUGCAAUCAGCACGAACGAUCCUGCCUAAUCUACCAACAAAUCACCAAUCGUUAGGAAGUAUAUACUCACUCCGGAAGCUUAGAAAGCAGAGAUUACGAAGGAAGAGGCAGAAAGGGAGGUUACGAUCUCGAGUCUGUUUUCAACGUGUUCCUUUCGAACGUGGAUAGAGGAGGAGUUUCGGAGUUUCAGGGGCCGAAGGAAGGUUUCCGUGCGAUAUAUGAAAGUGAGGCUAACAGGAUGGUGGUGGAGGGGACUUACAACGAGAACCUUCUUCUCUCUAUCUAUCUAUCUCUUUCUCGCUCCUACCACAAGUGAGUAAUAAGUACCUGCCCGCCUUGAAAGCAGAGACUUGAUUCAUUUCGCGGUUAUCAAUAAAUCGGAUUAUCGUUAAACGAAAAGUUCUCGAAAUAACGAGAUCACGAAGCAGUCAAUAAAAAUUCUCUAUCUUUUCUCUGAGCGACUAUCUAAACGAUUAACCAUUUGGAGUGUUCACGUAGGAACAUUUUGACGUUCCCUGAUACGAUUUUGCUAAAUGAAAAAAGAAAAAGAAAAAGAAAAAGAAA